GUCGAGAAUCUUUCACAAUGGGGGCAACCCUGAUGGAGCGACGCCGCGUGGAGGAUAAGGUCUUCGGAUUGUAAACUCCUGUCAUGCGUGAACAAGGUUGCUUGGUUAAUACCUGGGCAAAUUGAUGGUAACGCAAGAGGAAGAGACGGCUAACUCUGUGCCAGCAGCCGCGGUAAUACAGAGGUCUCAAGCGUUGUUCGGAAUCACUGGGCGUAAAGGGUGGGUAGGUGGCGUGGUAAGUCAGAUGUGAAAGCCCGGGGCUCAACCUCGGAACUGCAUCCGAUACUGCCAUGCUAGAGUACUGGAGAGGUGACUAGAAUUCUCGGUGUAGCAGUGAAAUGCGUAGAUAUCGAGAGGAAUACCAAAGGCGUAGGCAGGUCACUGGACAGUUACUGACACUGAGGCACGAAGGCCAGGGGAGCGAACGGGAUUAGAAACCCCUGUAGUCC
rnacentral:rRNA from 1 species